rnacentral:rRNA from 1 species
CGGGAUACCCGAGGGAAACUUCGGUUAAUACGGUAUAAGACCACACUACCGCAUGGUAGAGGGGUAAAAGGGGCAACCUGGUAUGAGAUGGACUCGCGUCGCAUUAGCUAGUUGGUGAGGUAACGGCCCACCAAGGCGACGAUGCGUAGCCGACCUGAGAGGGUGAUCGGCCACAUUGGGACUGAGAUACGGCCCAGACUCCUACGGGAGGCAGCAGUGGGGAAUAUUGGGCAAUGGAGGAAACUCUGACCCAGCAAUGCCGCGUGAAUGAAGAAGGUCUUCGGAUUGUAAAGUUCUUUAGUCAGGGAAGAAGUCAAUGACGGUACCUGAAGAAUAAGCUCCGGCUAACUACGUGCCAGCAGCCGCGGUAAUACGUAGGGAGCAAGCGUUGUUCGGAAUGACUGGGCGUAAAGGGUGCGUAGGCGAUUGUACAAGUUAGAAGUGAAAUACCCAGGGCUUAACUCGGGUGCUGCUUCUAAAACUGUAUGACUUGAGUGCAGUAGAGGUUAGUGGAAUUCCUAGCGUAGCGGUGGAGUGCGUAGAUAUUAGGAGGAACACCAGAGGCGAAGGCGGCUAACUGGACUGCAACUGACGCUGAGGCACGAAAGUGUGGGGAGCAAACAGGAUUAGAUACCCUGGUAGUCCACACUGUAAACGAUGGAUAAUAGAUGUAGGAGGUAUCGACUCCUUCUGCGUCGCAG